UACGUAGGGGGCAAGCGUUGUCCGGAGUUACUGGGCGUAAAGCGCACGCAGGUGGUCUCUUAAGUUUGGAGUGACAGUUGGUGGCUUAACUGCCAAAGUGCUUCGAAAACUGAGAGACUUGAGGGCUUCAGAGGGACACGGAAUUCCGGGUGGAGUGGUGAAAUGCGUAGAGAUCCGGAGGAACACCAAAGGCGAAGGCAGUGUCCUGGGGAGUACCUGACGCUCAGGUGCGAAAGCCAGGGGAGCGAACGGG
rnacentral:rRNA from 1 species